UUGCACGCCGGCGGCAGGCCUAACACAUGCAAGUCGAACGGUAACAGGAAGAAGCUUGCUUCUUUGCUGACGAGUGGCGGACGGGUGAGUAAUGUCUGGGAAACUGCCUGAUGGAGGGGGAUAACUACUGGAAACGGUAGCUAAUACCGCAUAACGUCGCAAGACCAAAGAGGGGGACCUUCGGGCCUCUUGCCAUCGGAUGUGCCCAGAUGGGAUUAGCUAGUAGGUGGGGUAACGGCUCACCUAGGCGACGAUCCCUAGCUGGUCUGAGAGGAUGACCAGCCACACUGGAACUGAGACACGGUCCAGACUCCUACGGGAGGCAGCAGUGGGGAAUAUUGCACAAUGGGCGCAAGCCUGAUGCAGCCAUGCCGCGUGUAUGAAGAAGGCCUUCGGGUUGUAAAGUACUUUCAGCGGGGAGGAAGGGAGUAAAGUUAAUACCUUUGCUCAUUGACGUUACCCGCAGAAGAAGCACCGGCUAACUCCGUG
rnacentral:rRNA from 1 species